UUCAUACUCCCUCCGCCCCGAAUUACUUCUCGCGGAAAUUGAUAGAAAUGGGUGUAUCUAGAACUAAAAAUACGUCUAGAUACAUCCAUUUCCGCGACAAGUAAUUCAGGACGGGGGGAGUACCUG
rfam:Triticum aestivum genome assembly, contig: Triticum_aestivum_CS42_TGACv1_scaffold_404214_5BL